AUGCAGAGUCAUACGCAUGAGGGCCGCAGGGGAGAAAUCAAACCCAAGAAGAAGGGAAGGAGAGAAGGGAAAAUUACUUGCUACAACAGCAGAGAAGUACUUGCUUGCUAUCACGGCGGAUCCAGGAAGAGCACAGCAGCAGAGGGGCGAAUCCAGGGGAGGAGCACAGCAGCAGAGGAGGAUAGCAAGGGAGGAGCACAGCAGCAGAGGAGGACAGCAAGGGAGGAGCACAACAGCAGAGGGGCGGAUCCAGCAGAGGAAGAGGAGCGGAAUGCUCCUGGCAUCUUCGGUGGCGGCAGCGGCGGGUCAGUGAGUGGUGGCGGCGGCCUGGUCCCAGGUGAGGCAGGCAGGCGGCUCGUUGUGGAGGAGCCUGAAAAGUUAGGGUUGCCAUUUUUCCCUUCCGUGGCCUGCUCACUUCUCUCUUCAAAUUGA
rnacentral:rRNA from 1 species